GUAGGUAUAGUUUAAUUAAAACGUUAGAUUGUGAUUCUGAAAAUAGAAGUUAAACCCUUCUUACCCACC
rnacentral:tRNA from 1 species